GACGAACGCUGGCGGCGUGCUUAACACAUGCAAGUCGAACGGAAAGGCCCUGCUUUUGUGGGGUGCUCGAGUGGCGAACGGGUGAGUAACACGUGAGUAACCUGCCCUUGACUUUGGGAUAACUUCAGGAAACUGGGGCUAAUACCGGAUAGGAGCUCCUGCUGCAUGGUGGGGGUUGGAAAGUUUCGGCGGUUGGGGAUGGACUCGCGGCUUAUCAGCUUGUUGGUGGGGUAGUGGCUUACCAAGGCUUUGACGGGUAGCCGGCCUGAGAGGGUGACCGGCCACAUGGGGACUGAGAUACGGCCCAGACUCCUACGGGAGGCAGCAGUGGGGAAUAUUGCACAAUGGGCGGAAGCCUGAUGCAGCAACGCCGCGUGCGGGAUGACGGCCUUCGGGUGGUAAACCGCUUUCGCCUGUGACGAAGCGUGAGUGACGGGAAUGGGGAAAGAAGCACCGGCUAACUACGU
rnacentral:rRNA from 1 species